UACGGGAGGCAGCAGUGGGGAAUAUUGCACAAUGGGCGCAAGCCUGAUGCAGCCAUGCCGCGUGUAUGAAGAAGGCCUUCGGGUUGUAAAGUACUUUCAGCAGUGAGGAAGGUGGGUAUGUUAAUAGCAUACUCAUUUGACGUUAGCUGCAGAAGAAGCACCGGCUAACUCCGUGCCAGCAGCCGCGGUAAUACGGAGGGUGCGAGCGUUAAUCGGAAUUACUGGGCGUAAAGCGCAUGCAGGUGGUUUGUUAAGUCAGAUGUGAAAGCCCGGGGCUCAACCUCGGAAUUGCAUUUGAAACUGGCAAACUAGAGUACUGUAGAGGGGGUAGAAUUUCAGGUGUAGCGGUGAAAAUGCGUAGAGAUCUGAAGGAAUACCGGUGGCGAAGGCGGCCCCCUGGACAGAUACUGACACUCAGAUGCGAAAGCGUGGGGAGCAAACAGGAUUAGAUACCCCGGUAA
rnacentral:rRNA from 1 species